UGUCAGACGUUUAACGUAACCAACACUACAAGCUGGAAAAAUGGAGAUAUCCAAUCCAUUGGUGUUCAAAGAAAAAAAAGAUUCCCAAUUCAAAAAAAUAUAAGAAAAACGAAGAAUACAACAACAACAUCAAAAGGCGAAACACAAUAUGUUGCAAUGGUAAAUGAUUUUAAUUACACUAUCAAAGAUGACAUCAUUAAAAUAAAAUAAAAAUAGUUUGAAAGAAUAAAAACAAAAGAAAACAAUAGAAAAGAAAGAUGCAAGAAAUAUGUUUCAAAGUUACGUGUCAAUUUACAUAGUUACUAGAUAAAAUCAAAAUAUUUUGUUUACUUCACCUCGCUGUCUGUUAUUCUUUCAACACCUCCACGAUCACCAUUUAGGUUUUACGUCCUAUAUUCUAUUAUUUAUAAGAUUAUUCCAUUACUC
rnacentral:lncRNA from 1 species